GGGGCCAUGGCUCAACCGGUCAGAGCGUCCGCCUGUCUAGCGGAAGGGUGCGGGUUCGAAUCCCGCUGGCCUCGUCA
rnacentral:tRNA from 1 species